rnacentral:rRNA from 1 species
AUCAGUGGCGAACGGGUGAGUAACACGUGAGCAACCUGCCCUUCACUUCGGGAUAACCUCGGGAAAUCGGGGCUAAUACCGGAUAUGACUCCUGCUCGCAUGGGUGGGGGUGGAAAGAUUUAUCGGUGAGGGAUGGGCUCGCGGCCUAUCAGCUUGUUGGUGGGGUAAUGGCCUACCAAGGCGUCGACGGGUAGCCGGCCUGAGAGGGUGACCGGCCACACUGGGACUGAGACACGGCCCAGACUCCUACGGGAGGCAGCAGUGGGGAAUAUUGCACAAUGGGCGAAAGCCUGAUGCAGCGACGCCGCGUGAGGGAUGACGGCCUUCGGGUUGUAAACCUCUUUCAGCAGGGAAGAAGCGAAAGUGACGGUACCUGCAGAAGAAGCGCCGGCUAACUACGUGCCAGCAGCCGCGGUAAUACGUAGGGCGCAAGCGUUGUCCGGAAUUAUUGGGCGUAAAGAGCUCGUAGGCGGUUUGUCGCGUCUGCUGUGAAAACGCGGGGCUCAACCCCGCGCCUGCAGUGGGUACGGGCAGACUAGAGUGUGGUAGGGGAGACUGGAAUUCCUGGUGUAGCGGUAAAAUGCGCAGAUAUCAGGAGG